CCUACGGGAGGCAGCAGUGAGGAAUAUUGGUCAAUGGGCGCGAGCCUGAACCAGCCAAGUAGCGUGAAGGAUGAAUGCCCUACGGGUUGUAAACUUCUUUUAUAAAGGAAUAAAGUGAGGCACGUGUGCCUUAUUGUAUGUACUUUAUGAAUAAGGAUCGGCUAACUCCGUGCAAGCAGCCGCGGUAAUACGGAGGAACCGAGCGUUAUCCGGAUUUAUUGGGUUUAAAGGGAGCGUAGAUGGGUUGGUAAGUCAGUUGUGAAAGUUUGCGGCUCAACCGUAAAAUUGCAAUUGAUACUGGCAGCCUUGAGUACAGUUGAGGGAGGCGGAAUUCGUGGUGUAGCGGUGAAAUGCUUAGAGAUCACGAGGAACACCGAUUGCGAAGGCAGCCUACUAAACUGCCACUGACAUUGAUGCUCGAAAGUGUGGGUAUCAAACAGGAUUAGAUACCCUUGUAGUC
rnacentral:rRNA from 1 species